rnacentral:sRNA from 2 species
CAUUGCUAUUUGAUGGCCUGCGGAUCAAAUUCCUUAUAAAGCUACUUGUCACUCCCAGUCACGAACCAACGAAUGUGUGGAUAUCUCUUUCUAGAUACCUCUAUCCUCAUAUAGAUUGAAGAGGGAUGGCUGCGUUGACUUAAAAUUCCGCCCCGGGGCUGUCUGCCCCAGGGUUGUAAUCUCACCUCGAAAAUAUCUUCUAUCUAUAAACAGACAUCGAAAUCAAGAAUGAAGAAGAAAAGUUAAUACAGCAGAAGUGCAACGAAGCGGAAUUCUAACUGAUGGAACCAGCGUGGCCGUAUUCACGAUUUGACAGCUAGGACAACAACACUCAAAGAAAACCGAAGAUUAAAUGGCCUUUGUUAUUCGGAAUAUCAUGCUUAGUUCU